AAUAUUGCGCAAUGGAGGGAACUCUGACGCAGCGACGCCGCGUGAGCGAUGAAGGUCUUCGGAUCGUAAAGCUCUGUCCUUAGGGAAGAAGGUCUUCGGACUUGACUGUACCUAAGGAGGAAGCCCCCGCUCACUACGCGCCAGCACCCGCGGUAAUACGUAGGGGGCAAGCGUUGUCCGGAAUUAUUGGGCGUAAGGGGUGCGUAGGCGGCCGUUUAAGUCAGAUGUGAAAGCCCACGGCUUAACCGGGGGACUGAAUUUGAAACUGGGGGGCUUGAGUAUCGGAGAGGGUAGUGGAAUUCCCAGUGUAGCGGUGGAAUGCGUAGAUAUUGGGAGGAACACCAGUGGCGAAGGCGACUACCUGGACGAAAACUGACGCUGAGGCACGAAAGCUAGGGGAGCAAAC
rnacentral:rRNA from 1 species